rnacentral:rRNA from 1 species
GUCGUUAACGAACGAGACCUUGACCUGCUAAAUAGCCAGGUUGACUUUUGUCGGCCGCCGGCUUCUUAGAGGGACUUUUGGCUCAAGCCAAUGGAAGUACGAGGCAAUAACAGGUCUGUGAUGCCCUUAGAUGUUCUGGGCCGCACGCGCGCUACACUGAUCAAGUCAACGAGUUUACAACCUUGGCCGGAAGGUCUGGGUAAUCUUUUGAAACUUGAUCGUGCUGGGGAUAGUCCAUUGCAAUUAUUGGACUUCAACGAGGAAUUCCUAGUAAGCGUGAGUCAUCAGCUCGCGUUGAUUACGUCCCUGCCCUUUGUACACACCGCCCGUCGCUAAUACCGAUUGAAUGGCUAA